UACGUAGGGUGCAAGCGUUGUCCGGAAUCAUUGGGCGUAAAGAGCUCGUAGGCGGUUUGUCGCGUCUGCUGUGAAAACCCGAGGCUCAACCUCGGGCCUGCAGUGGGUACGGGCAGACUAGAGUGCGGUAGGGGAGAUUGGAAUUCCUGGUGUAGCGGUGGAAUGCGCAGAUAUCAGGAGGAACACCAAUGGCGAAGGCAGAUCUCUGGGCCGUAACUGACGCUGAGGAGCGAAAGCAUGGGGAGCGAACAGG
rnacentral:rRNA from 1 species